rnacentral:tRNA from 1 species
GCAGUCGUGCGGGUGGUUAAUGCGAUGGACUAGAAAUCCAUUGAGUCUCCCCGCACAGUUCGAAUCCUGUCGACUGCG